UUUCCGUAGGUGAACCUGCGGAAGGAUCAUUCAUAAUAAAGUGUUUUAUGGCACUUUUUAAAAAUCCAUAUCCACCCUGUGUGCAAUGUUAGAUCUCGUCAAUCUUGGCGAGAUUUUUAUACAUCAACUCAUUCUUUAACUAAUUUGUCUGAAAAAUAUUAUGAAUACUUAAUUCAAAAUACAACUUUCAACAACGGAUCUCUUGGCUCUC
rnacentral:misc_RNA from 1 species